UCCACGUUAGCGGGUUAUAAUUUAAUCUCAUCCAAAUAAAAUAUGGAUCAUGAUUUAUCCUAAUGAGUUUAGGAUAAGAAUAAAUUAUAUAUUUUUUAUCAGUUAAGAAACAUAUCUCCUUAUAUUUUAAGAGAGGUUCAUAAUAUUUUAGGGGUUUUAUUGUUCUAUAAAGAGUUCUCCCUUUUCUUUCUUAUAAUCCAUCUAAGAAUUCUUCUUUCUUCUCUUUCUUCUCUCUUUGAAAUUUUCACCUACGUUUCCGGAGUUUUGAAGUGUGGAUAUAGAAGGGAACUUUAGUAGCCCUCUUCGAUUUAUAUCCAUAUAUGACGAUCCGUGACGCAAGACAUAGUCGUGGGAGAAAGCGAGAUACAUGCAAGAUCCAGAGGCGACAAGGAUGAUCCAAACAGGCUAGUAAAAUAAGCAAUCCGAUCCGAUUUCGGUUGUUGGAUACGUUGGCUAUUCAGUUGUAAGUUUUCACUGUCCUUUAAUUCCAACAUUUUUAAAUUAAUAUCUCGUAACUUUUAAUUCUUUUGAAUUAAGCAAUUUUAAUCAAUUUGGUUAGAAAUUCUAUUAUUGAUUGCUGAAAGAGUCAUAAAAUUUAAUAAACUUUUAAUUUAAUUGAUUAGAAUUAGUAAAAGAAUAAAUUACAUAAGUGGUUACCAAACUU
rnacentral:lncRNA from 1 species